GAGUCGACCAGACGGAGCCGGAGGUGCCGGAGGAAGCGGUGGGCAGGCGGGUGUCCUGCGGCGGGGAGCGGGCCACGGUGCGGUACGUGGGUCCGGUACCACCCACAGCAGGGCUGUGGCUCGGCGUGGAGUGGGAUGACCCCGACAGAGGGAAGCAUGACGGCAGCCACGAGGGAGUCCAGUAUUUUACAUGCAGUCACACUAAAGGAGGUUCCUUCGUCCGCCCGGCGAAGGCGAGCUUCGGUGUGGACUACCUGGCCGCUGUGCGACAGGUGUACCAGGUCGACACAGAGGAGGUGCUGAGUGAGGAGAUCUCCAUCUCUGACAAGAAGCUGAAGUGGUGGUGCGUCGAGGAGCGCAGUUAUGAGAGUCUUCCGUCAGUGAUACUGAGUCGCUGUGAGGUGAACGGCCCCGGAGACGAUGGAGAAAUCAAGAAAACAACACCCAGUAUCUUUCUGCAGAGUCUCUU